AUUUUUUAAAGAUUUUAUUUGUUUAUUUGACAGAGAUCACAAAUAGGCAGAGAGGCAGGUAGAGAGAGGGGGGGGAAUCAGGCUCCCUGGUGAGCAGAGAACCUGACAUGGGGCUCAAUCCCAGGACCCUGGGUUCAUGACCUGAGCUGAAGACAGGGGCUUUAACCCACUGGCCCACCCAGGCGCCCCUGGACCUGUACCUUUUAAAAAUAUAUACAUAUUAUUUAUUUAUUUGACCGAGAAGGGGCACAAGCAGGGGGAGCAGAGUGGGAGAGGGAGAAGCAGACUCCCCGCUAAGCAGGGAGCUUAAUGCUCGUCUCUAUCCUAGAACCCCAGGGUCAAAACCUGAGCCAAAGGCAGACACUUAACCGACUGAGCUACCCAGGUGCCCCAGAUCUAUACCUUUUAAUGUGGCUUCAUUAAUAGCUCUUCAUUUAUUAGUAUUUAAAAUAUAAAGCUUUCUCUUUUUGUAUUUGUAUUAAGUACAAAUAUUGCCCCCAAUUUGUUAUUGACCUUUUGAACGUAAUGUUUUACUUUUAUUUUCUGCCAUAUGGACAUAAUGUUUUUAAAGAUUUUUAUUUAUUUAUUCAUGAGAGACAGAGAGAGAGAGGCAGAGGCAAAAGGAGAAGCAGCCUUCCUGCUAAACAGGGAGCCCUGAUGUGGAACUCGAUCCCAGGACUCUGGGACUAUGAUGUGAACAAAGGCAGACGCUUCAGCAUCCAAGACCCCCAGAUGACCCUCACUCUCUCUUCCUACUUUUCUUCUGUUUGACACCAUACUUGAAGAAGCCUUUCCAGCCCUUAAUUUUCUAAGUAAUUGCCUGUGUUGGCUCCUGUUUCUCUUUAACACAUCAAUUUUAUGAAGAUAACUGGCAGCCAUCCUCAAGAUUUGUGCAUCAUUCUUCUCUUAAAGUCUUUCAACCAUUUUUUUGCCCCCAAACUAGCACAUUCACGGUGACCAGGAAAUGUCAGAGGCUAAGAAAGCUCAAGUUUCCAAUCUGUAUGAAAGAACUAGUUCUUCUUUGAAGCCUCGGGACAUGGCUUGUUUUAAUGGAAGGGGCCACAGAAGUGCGAGGAAAGUGGCUGAAUCUGAAUUCCCUCUUAUGCAAAAUACUGGUUGGAUGGGUUUACAGGGAAGCUGCAACAAAGUAAGACAACCCAGGGGCCUUAACAACAGAGAUGAAUUGUCUCCAAGUUCUGGAGGCUGGGAGUCUGAGAUCCAGGUGUGGGCAGGCCUAGUUCCUUGGCGGGGUUGGGGGGGGGGUGCGGGGGCUCGGUCCCAUCCUCUCUCCUUGGCUUGUAGCCGACUGUCCCCUCUCUAUGUAUCAUCACAGUCUCUUCUCUCUACCUGGGAGUCUCUGUAUCCAAAUUUUCCUUUUUUCUUUUUUUAAGAGUUAUAUAUUUACUUUAGAGAGAGAGGGCAUGAGCAAGGGGCGGACAGAGGGGGAGAGAGAGAGAGAGAGAGAGAGAGAGAGAGAGAAGCAGACUCCCUGCUGAGUGCCGUGCCUAGCUUGGGGCUCAUGACCUUGAGAUCAUGAUGUCCACCCUAAGGCUUCAUUUUACCUUGAUUUUCCUCCAUAGACACCCACCACCAAAAAAGAAAGAAAAGAAAAAGAAGAAGAAAACAUCACAUUCUGAGAUUGUCUACCAACGGGAGUCUGAGCAGAUGGAGAAGGGACAUCGUGAACAGGACAGAGGACUUGAAUCAGAGCAGCUGAGGUGAAUCCUGGGGUCUUGCUUCAGUCUUUAGCGCAUCACAUCCCUUGUUCUAAAAAACAAAUCCCAGAGGUGCCUAGGUGGCAGUGGGUUAAAGCCUCUGCCUUCAGCUCGGGUCAUGGCCUCAGUAUCCUGGGAUCGAGCCCCGCAUCGGGCUCUCUGCUCAGUGGGGAGCCUGCCUCCCCACCCCUCUCUCUCUGCCUGCCUCUCUGCCUACUGGUGAUGUCUCUCAAAUAAAGAAAUAAAACCUUUAAAAAUAAAUAACUAAAUAACAAA